GGUUAAUGCUAAUGGCUCGUUCCAUCCACGGGAUUGCGUUGUUUCGGAAGCACCAGUGCAUAUGAACUAUGUGAGGGACAAUUGGGGGGGUAACCCCAGAGAUAGGUUUCUUAAUAUGUUGCCUGCCAAUCAUAACUAUCCUGUCAUUCCAGAAACUUCAGGAGCUCACUCCUUGCAGAUCUUGCAACCACCCUCUUCAUCUAGGGAUGAAAUAGCAGCAAGUAGAGUUGAAGAGCCUCCAGUGAAGAAGGAAGGUGGGAAAGCAAAGAAAAGACAGAAUAGUGAGGGUGGCCCCAAAACCCCCAAAGCUAAAAAACCAAGGAAACCGAAAGAUACUAGCAUGGCUGUGCAGCGUGUGAAACCACCAAAGAAGAAUAUUGAUCUUGUUAUAAAUGGGAUUGAUAUG
rnacentral:misc_RNA from 1 species